rnacentral:lncRNA from 1 species
GGUGUAUGUAAUCAUAUUAGGGGGGUAGCCACGAAAAAAAAUCAUCCGAUCAUGGCGGCCAUCUUGGAUUUUCGAAAUAAUGUCUUCACAGGGAACAGACAUCAUAUGUAUUACCCGUUUUGCUUGUAUUGUAUUCAAAAUGUUACAAAAUGGAGUAAAUCAUGGUUAUAUAAGAUAAAGUAUCACUGUCGGUCAAAUAUCGGUCG